GAUGAACGCUAGCGGCAGGCCUAACACAUGCAAGGUCAGGGGCAGCACAGGUAGCAAUACUGGGUGGCGACCGGCGGAUGGGUGCGUAAACGCGUAUGCAACCUACCAUUGAUUGGGGCAUAGCCCGAAGAAAUUCGGAUUAAUACUCCAUAAUAUUCAUUAAAGGCAUCUUUUAUGAAUUAAAGCUUUUGCGAUCAAUGAUGGGCAUGCGUGACAUUAGUUAGUUGGUGAGGUAACGGCUCACCAAAACGAUGAUGUCUAGGGGUUCUGAGAGGAUUAUCCCCCACACUGGUACUGAGACACGGACCAGACUCCUACGGGAGGCAGCAGUGAGGAAUAUUGGUCAAUGGACGCAAGUCUGAACCAGCCAUGCCGCGUGCAGGAUGACGGCCCUAUGGGUUGUAAACUGCUUUUCCACGGGAAGAACCCUCCGACGUGUCGGAGACUGACGGUACCGUGGGAAUAAGCAUCGGCUAACUCCGUG
rnacentral:rRNA from 1 species